CUCCCUUGGCUUUGAUCUCCAGCGGCUACCCUAACAACCACCAAGCCCUGCAAUUACUGGCCACCACCACACAUUCACCUCCGCCCCCUCUACCAACACCAGCCCUAGGUCUGCCCUGCCCACCAUGACACAUCCUGGCACCACCCAGAAAACAAAAAGGGGUUUUCCUCUGGGUAGCCGAGGCCUUUGGAACACAGUCCAGCACCAUCAUCCUUUUAAAUGGCCAGGAGAACUGUACCUAUAACCUCUGUCAUGUGGAAGAGAUACCUGUAUAAUGAAAAUCAUGAAAAAGUGAAGAAUUCAAUGAAGUAUGGGGAGGCACAUGAACAAAUGUAGAACCAGGAAAAUGAUAUGCACAAUGACUAUAACAAUAUAAAUGAAAAGAACAACAUUAAAAAAAUUGAAAAUGAACCUUGAGUCAUU
rnacentral:lncRNA from 1 species